CAAAAAGAUCAUUUGGGUUUUU
rnacentral:miRNA from 8 species